rnacentral:rRNA from 1 species
AUUGAACGCUGGCGGCAAGCCUAACACAUGCAAGUCGAACGAGUGGCGGACGGGUGUGUAAUGUCUGGGAAACUGCCUGAUGGAGGGGGAUAACUACUGGAAACGGUCGCUAAUACCGCAUACCAUCGGAUGUGCACAGAUGGGAUGAGCUAGUAGGUGGGGUAAAGGCUGCCCUAGGCGACGAUCCCUAGCUGGUCUGAGAGGAUGACCAGCCACACUGGGACUGAGACACGGUCCAGACGCCUACGGGAGGCAGCAGUGGGGAAUAUUGCACAAUGGGCGCAAGCCUGAUGCAGCCAUGCCGCGUGUAUGAAGAAGGCCUUCGGGUUGUAAAGUACUUUCAGCGGGGAGGCGUUACCCGCAGAAGAAGCACCGGCUAACUCCGUGCCAGCAGCCGCGGUAAUUC